UACGUAGGGGGCAAGCGUUGUCCGGAAUUAUUGGGCGUAAAGAGCGUGUAGGCGGCCAGAUAAGUCCGCUGUGAAAUCUCGAGGCUCAACUUCGAGCUGUCGGUGGAAACUGUCUGGCUAGAGUCCGGAAGAGGAGAAUGGAAUUCCUGGUGUAGCGGUGAAAUGCGCAGAUAUCAGGAAGAACACCCGUGGCGAAGGCGGCUCUCUGGGACGUGACUGACGCUGAGACGCGAAAGCGUGGGGAGCAAACAGG
rnacentral:rRNA from 1 species